rnacentral:rRNA from 1 species
AGCGAACGCUGGCGGCAGGCUUAACACAUGCAAGUCGAGCGGGCGUAGCAAUACGUCAGCGGCAGACGGGUGAGUAACGCGUGGGAACAUACCUUUUGGUUCGGAACAACACAGGGAAACUUGUGCUAAUACCGGAUAAGCCCUUACGGGGAAAGAUUUAUCGCCGAAAGAUUGGCCCGCGUCUGAUUAGCUAGUUGGUGAGGUAACGGCUCACCAAGGCGACGAUCAGUAGCUGGUCUGAGAGGAUGAUCAGCCACAUUGGGACUGAGACACGGCCCAAACUCCUACGGGAGGCAGCAGUGGGGAAUAUUGGACAAUGGGCGCAAGCCUGAUCCAGCCAUGCCGCGUGAGUGAUGAAGGCCCUAGGGUUGUAAAGCUCUUUUGUGCGGGAAGAUAAUGACGGUACCGCAAGAAUAAGCCCCGGCUAACUUCGUGCCAGCAGCCGCGGU